ACCAAGGUUCUUAUGAUGUUUUUACCUAACUAAGCUAAUUACGUCAUUUUGGAGGAUAAUUAGCUAAGUAUGUAUUUGUUAGGGGAAAAUAAUCUACAUAGAAGAAGAAAGAGAAGAAGCAAGAAGAGAAGAAGAAGGAGAAGAAAAAAAGAAGGAGGACGAGGACGAGGAUGAGGAGAAGGAGAAGGAGAAGGAAGAGGAGAAGAAGAAGAAAAG
rnacentral:lncRNA from 1 species